rnacentral:rRNA from 1 species
UACGGGGGGGGCAAGCGUUGUUCGGAAUUACUGGGCGUAAAGGGCUUGUAGGUGGCCAACUAAGUCAGACGUGAAAUCCCUCGGCUUAACCGGGGAACUGCGUCUGAUACUGGAUGGCUUGAGUGUGGGAGAGGGAUGCGGAAUUCCAGGUGUAGCGGUGAAAUGCGUAGAUAUCUGGAGGAACACCGGUGGCGAAGGCGACAUCCUGGACCGGUAUUGACGCUGAGGCGCGAAAGCCAGGGGAGCAAACGGG